AUGGUUCGCACUCGCGGCGGCAAGGACAACUGGGUGUUGCCGCCGGACGCCGGCGUCCCUCUCGGUGAAGACGGUGUCCAGCUCAAGGAGGAAGACGGGGAGACCGCAGCGACGGUGAUGGUGCCCGCCGCCGCCGCCGCCCCAAGAGUGGAGAUCGCCGUCGACUUCGACAAGUCCCUGCUGGACUGCCCCGUCUGCUCCUUGCCGCUCAAGCCUCCCGUCUUCCAGUGCCCGGCGAAGCACGCGGCGUGCGGCCCCUGCGCCGCGAACCUGGCCAACAAGUGCCCGGCGUGCGACGGCGCGUACGAGCGCGACGACGCGGCCGACCGCUACCUCCUGGCGGUAAGGGUGCCCUGCCCCAACCAGGCGUACGGCUGCGGUAGCUCCGUGGUGUACUGCAUGGCGGGCGACCACCGGCUGGUGUGCCCGCACGCUCCGUGCCGCUGCCCCGAGCCCGGAUGCGGCUUCCUCGGCGCCCCGCCCGCGCUCCGCGGCCACCUCGCCGAGCGCCACCAGUGGCAAGUGACCGACAUCGCCUACGGGUCCGUGCUCGAGAUCCAGAUGCAGGCGGUGGAGCAGGGGUGGCGGCUGCUGGCCGCGGAGGACGGGGAGCAGCUGUUCCUGCUCGUGGCGAGCGAGCGCGGCGUCAAGGUGGUGCGCGUGGCCGCGCCCGCGGAGGAGGAAGGCUGGUACAGGUGCAAGGUGUGGGUGCACGCGCCCGUGGACACGGACACCUGCCACAUGGACGUCCUGAUGCUGGACGCCAAGGUGGAGAGCUGCCCGGUGCCGUCGGAGGAGGCGGCCAUGGGCGCGGGUGGCAGGUACCUGCCGGUGCCGUCCGACGUGCCGGCGCCGGAUGGAGGAGGGAUCGUCAUCCGUCUCCGCAUCGACAAGGAGGUCAAGGCGAGCCACGGCAACAAGUGCCCGGCUGUACGCUAUAUAUGCAGCUGA
rnacentral:rRNA from 1 species